CCGCCUUCCCUGCCCGGCAGACAGCGCCUGCCGCCUGGGAGCCCCGGGGGACGCGCCGUCCGGCCUCCAGCCAACUGCAGUGAUGGAUCCAGGCGCCUGGCGUGGGGCCAGAGCCCGGGCGGACGCGAGGGCGCCGGGAGCUGCAACUCACCAUCGCUGGGUGGUGGGGGAAGGCUAAAAGAGGAACCAGGCCCAGAGCUGGAGGACCAGUCCUGUAAGCCUGGGAGAGAGCACGGCCUCUACCCUGAGGUCUUGGUUUAUUCUUGGUUGGCAUUUCCUGUGUCUGAGAUAGUGAGAAGAGAAAUGGAGGGAGGAGGGAACAGAUUUUUAAGACUCAAGAAGAGAGAAGAGGCAGUGCCAAAGAAAAAUUUGGCUACAGGUAUCAGGAACCGUAAAAUGCCUGUGUCUUUUGACAUAGUGGAUCUAUUUCUGGAAAUUGACCCUAAAAACACUAUCCAAAACUUGUAAGAAAAAGCCUUAAGCACCACGAUGUUCACAGAAGCCUUAUUUUAUAACAGUGAAUAAUGGGAAACAACCUAAAUAGAUGUCCGACAAUAGGGGAUCAGCCAAGAUGCCAUUAGGAGUUUUAUAUGAUUACGCGGGAAAAUACUUAUGCCAUAGGAUUAGGUCAUAAUGGAACAUUCAAAACUGUACAUAUAGAAUGUCAUAGCUGGGUGAAGAAAUGUGGAUAGAAAGAGGCCAAAGAAAAUACACUGAAAUGUUAGCAAUGAUUGUUUUGAAGUGGUGGACUCUCUUCUUUUCCUAUAUUUCCUAAAUUUUCUACAAUAAAUACACACAAGUUUUAAAUAAUUAAAACGAAAUGUAAGGGUGGAGUGAGAGACGCUCAUAUGAGGCCUGCACAGAAGUAAAAUAAACACGAAUUAGUGGGGAGCCAACGGCUUCCAGAACCCAGGGUACUGCUGUGUUCUAGGUGUGCUGACCAUCUCCCUGGCAUACUGAAUGGACACAACAGAGAGAAUGAGGUGACACUGUGGUGCAGUCACUCUGCAGAGGACAAUCAAAGGCCCCUGAACUCAUAUUUAAAGAAAAAGUAUGAGUUUUCCCAGCAGAGAAAAGGGAGGAAGUCAUGCUCAGUAGAGGGAACAGUCAGAGCAAAGGCACUGAGGCAUGUGGGAAACGCAGGCAGGCCAGGGUGGCUGGAUUACAGGGUGCCCUGGGGAGAAAUGAUGGGAGACGUGGGAUUGGGAAGGAAAGUGAUGACUGUCAGGGGAUCACGAAUGCUGCGCUGAGGGACUUUGCCUCUCAGCCAUAGGCAAA